GAUUAACGCUGGCGGCGUGCCUAACACAUGCAAGUCGAACGAGGUAGCAAUACCUAGUGGCAGACGGGUGAGUAACGCGUGGUCAACCUACCGUUGAGUGGGGGAUAACUAGCCGAAGGUUAGCUAACACCGCAUACGUCUCCGAGUGGCAUCACUUGGCGAUAAAGGAGCAAUCUGCUCGAUGACGGGACCGCGUCCCAUUAGCUAGAUGGUGGGGUAACGGCCUACCANGGCACCGAUGGGUAGCUGGUUUGAGAGAGCGACCAGCCACACUGGGACUGAGAAACGGCCCAGACUCCUACGGGAGGCAGCAGUGAGGAAUUUUCCGCAAUGGGCGCAAGCCUGACGGAGCGACGCCGCGUGUGGGAAGAAGGCCUUCGGUCGU
rnacentral:rRNA from 1 species